AGCUUGCUUUCUCGAGCGAGUGGCGAACGGGUGAGUAACGCGUGAGGAACCUGCCUUUCAGAGGGGGACAACAGUUAGAAAUGACUGCUAAUACCGCAUAUGCCCACAGCUCGGCAUCGAGCAGAGGGAAAAGGAGUGAUCCGCUUUGAGAUGGCCUCGCGUCCGAUUAGCUAGUUGGUGAGGUAACGGCCCACCAAGGCGACGAUCGGUAGCCGGACUGAGAGGUUGAACGGCCACAUUGGGACUGAGAUACGGCCCAGACUCC
rnacentral:rRNA from 1 species